rnacentral:lncRNA from 1 species
CUGGAAACUGCUCACCUAUGUCAUGGAGGAAGAGAACCCAGCACCGAGAGGGACCAUCAGAGGAUGUUCCAUGAGAACUUGGUGAGGGUUGUGGAGAGGUUGGCUGGUGCUUCUCCGUCUUCAUACAGAUGUCCAGACAGGGGACCAGAAGUCUCAGGUCUGAGCUCUACCUGGAAGCCCCUCACGUCUGUAGCCAUCAAACCUCCAGAUAAGACGAGCCCUGAAGCAUUUUGGUUGCAUCAGAAAACAGAUGGAAGGCCAGUCUUCACAGAUGCAUAUACUUCAUCCUGGCUUCCACCCACAGAGGUUGCAUCUGUGCAGAAAUUCAUCCCAGAGCACCAGGCAGGUGGGUGUCAACUCCUGCUGAGAUUUCGCUGUAUCAGGAAACUCAUGCAUCUGGUGCAGAUGUCCCGGAGUGGCUCUGACAGUCCAGGGCUGGGCAGUGGAGACACUGAUGACAGCCUUGAGCAGAGUGGUUUUAGUAGAAAUGGCAGAGACAAAAGCCAGGCUAGAGGAGUUUAAGGAAGGAACAGAGGUAAGUAAGCUAGAAAUGAACUUUUCCAGUCACUUGGAAAAAAUAAGACCAAAGAUGAUUAUGCAUAUCACAACUGAUACACACAUAGCCCAGGGCCAGGUUCCCUCCUCUCUGGAACCCCUGAUUCCUGCUGGUGCUGUUUUAUCUCCCCAGGUAGCCACUGUGUCUUUAUCUCCCUCCAGAGAAGCAACGCGCUCCAGACUCUGAUGCACUGGAGGCAGGAGACAGCUGCAGGUGGUGGUGUGCUCUGGAAGAGUAGAAACAGAGACCCCUCAUA